rnacentral:tRNA from 1 species
GCCUAGUUAGCUUAGUUGGUAGUGCGUCUGCCUUGUAAGCGCUAGGCCGCGGGUUCGAUUCCCGCCUGGGCC